AAAACUUUCAACAACGGAUCUCUUGGUUCUGGCAUCGAUGAAGAACGCAGCGAAAUGCGAUAAGUAAUGUGAAUUGCAGAAUUCCGUGAAUCAUCGAAUCUUUGGACGCACAUUGCGCCCUUUGGUAUUCCGAAGGGCAUGCCUGUUCGAGCGUCAUUG
rnacentral:rRNA from 1 species